UUACACAUUUGAACUGUCAUAGCUUGCUUUACUUUUGCAAGCAAAUACAAUGCAGCAAACCUUAAUUUAUAGCUCUGCAAUAGUGUGCAUGAAAUAUAUGGAAAUGUCAAGGGUGUCCUGCCCUCUCUGCCCCACUCAGGACAGCAGUACUCACACAGAAGAUGGGCAAGGGGUGUUUAAAUGUGAUAAAGACUUGACUUGUCAACAGUCUAACAACAAAAGCAGGAAGCAACACUAAGCAAGAAGUGUGUUUUGGGAUACACCCAUCUCUUGUCACUGUGUAUUUUGACAAGCAGCACCCCAGCCUUGUGUUGGAUAGUGGGUGCAUGAGUUGUGCUGUUGGGCUGUAUGAGGGUAGUUUGGGAUAUCUGCAGUCCUGCAGUAAAGGGUGAAGUCCUACCUGCCUGUGGAUUUGGCAGUUUAUAGUCUCAUCAGAUACAGAGUCAUGUGGAUAAGUUUUUCUUCUUAUUUUUCAGUGCAUUGGUGAGGUUGUACCUUGGAGCUGAAUUCUUCAGAGCCUGGCACCUGGGCAGAUGCAGGAGCAUUUCUCCUGGUGAGCGUGUGGCUGGAGCCAGGUUUGUAUCUCAUAUGCAGGGUGGUGGGCUUGUGUGACUUGGCACACAAGGUCGUACACAGGAAAAUAACAAGUAAAUGUAUGAUAAGGAUCACAUAUCUGUCUCCAACUAGGGGAAACCGAAGGAACUAAUAGCAGACACCUGGUUCAACAGCUGAGGACCAAUUGAGCAUGUGCCUAAUAAACAAACUAUGAGUCAAUCAUUGUACCUUAUAAAUAGUAAGCAGCCCAAGAAGCCCUUUGAGCUCUCCUGCAUGGCAGUGGCUGCAUAACAGGAUCUCCCCUUGCGUAGGGAUGCCUCUUGAGGUUAAGCCUGAGCAGAGAUCCUGUACAUCUUGCCAACACAGACCCUCAGUUGGACAGCUGACCUGCAUUGGACAUCAUGUUGGAUGUGAGAGACACAAGGCCAAAGAAGAGACAGUGCCAUUUGCACAUGAUACGAGAAAAUCAAAAUUCGGGCUCAGCAUGUAGCUUCUGCACAUCACCUGGGGCUUCAUCAGUUGAAUUAAAGUUUAUUCAUUUUGUAUCUAUUUGUCAAGAUGGUCCUCGUAAUUACCAUUCGUUAUCACAAUGGAAAACAGAUCUCUCAAUUGGUUUCCUAAUACAUCUUCAGCAUUAGCUGGGACAUGAGCUGGAAGGGAACUAAAUGAAGUUGCUGGGAAACAGCUGACAUGUAAACCCACAAGGAAGAACAGAAGACAAGAGAGUAAAACACCGGUACCUACAGCAGAUAAUUAAUUCAGUAGGUGUGAGCUGUCCUCGCUGCUUCCACCUGUUAAGAAAUGCCUGCAAAUGAUGUCGUGGGAAGUGCAUAAACAUCUGGAACAUCUGUUACUGUUUAUAGUAACAUCCUCAGAAACUCACCUUCUCCAUCUGAAAGUAUAAGCACUCUCAACAGGUAUUUUACAUUUCCAGUGUCCCUGCAUAUCAGUACAGAGCUGUUUUAGUGAGUUGGAUGAUGAGAUGUCAUGUGGUUUGUGAAUCAGUAUUCAUUCAUGCAUAUCAGCAGGUAUCCAAAAUUCAGUGCAAAAUAUUGCUUAGAGAAAUACUGCUUUAUUUAAGAUAUGAUUCCUAACUCAAAAAACAUUCAAAAAACUAUUAACACAUUCAGUGAAAGCAUCAGUUCUGUGUGAGAAAACAAAACAAGUGACUGCAGAGAUGUUAUCUUCAAAGGCUUUUUUAAAGUUCGUGCUGUCCUUCCAUUCUUCACACUCCCAUGGCUGGUUUAGUUGCAUACAGGUUAGCUGCAGUCAGAAGAGGCAGUUUAGCCACACUAAAUUAAUACUGAAUUGCAGCCAUCAGGUUUGGGUGUGAUGGCACUGGGGAAGCGGCGUGUGCCUGCAGGGUCCCAGCUCUUGUCCUUGCAGCACCCCAGCAGUUUGUGGGACCAUGCACCAAGUGCUGUCAGGGAAAUGACUCACCAGCAAGUUUUGUCCACAUGAAAUGUUUUUUUGCUUUUUUCUUCAAGUGAAUCACUGGUUAAAAAGAAAGUGAGUCCCAGAGCAGGCAAUGUGACCUCUUCCUACAUUUAUUACUCUCAAUCAUUACAACUACAGCUGAUUAAUAGAGAUAGUUUAAAAGGAACUUUGCUUAAUGGUGAGGUUUCUUUUCCCUUUAGGCUCCCAACAGCUUUCCUGUAUAUAGCCUCAUUUUUCAACACCAAGUUUCAUCUGCCAGACUGCCUGUAAUAAUACCUCUCACUUCAUUUUUAAUGCUUAGUCACCUAAGUAAGUUUCCUCUUACUUCCUUGAUAUUUUUAUUCAGUCCUCUCCAUUAAGACAGUAGAAUCUGGAGUUCUUGAAGCCCCAGACUGAAGUGAAAGCUGCACGUUGGGAAGGGCUACUGAGCUGUAAUACUAAACAGCUUACUUCCUUACUUCUGUUGCCUGUGAGAGUGGGAGCAGCAAUACACUUUUAGCCACAUUUCCUGAGCCAGGAAGGGAGGAUCCACUUCAUUCUUUGAUCUCAUCCCAAGACUUUGCUGACAAGGAUCAGAGUGGCAGGUUGCCAUUCCUGAAGGCUGCACUGGGUGAGUUAAUCCUUACCACUCUCUGUGAUGUGCUGAUGAUCACCACCUCAACCAGGCAGUGAGGUCUUAAAUUAUUCCCUUGUAUAUGGGUUCUGGGCAGCAGCACUCAGCCUGAUCCCACCUCAAUUCCAAGCAGUGUUGCACAUCUUCAGAGCUAUACCCUCCCUGAGACUCUCUUCCUCUCUAAUGGUGGAGGGUUUAUAGCCAGAUGUUGAUAGAGGUCACCAGCCAAAUCUGUCCACAAUGAUAUCAUCUUCCCAGCAGCUUGAGGUAUUGCUCUCCCAUCCACUUGUUGAUCUGUGGUCUGUCCCAAGGCUCAUGAUACUCCGUUGUCUUCAUUAUUCUGCAGGCUUAUUAUGUUCAAUCAUUCAACCUUUGAUCAAGGCAAAGCCAUGAUGUUCCUUUAAUAUCAUUAUGUAUAAACAAAUCCACAAGUAAAUGUGUGUGAGUAGUUGUUUAAAUCUUGUUAUUUAUUUACCCAGCACUGAGUCUCAACAGCUUGUUGUGAAAGACAAUGAAAAAACUGUCUUGCUUGCCCUUUUCUCUGGACAGCUGUGAAACAUAAGCAUGGGUGUGCAUCUCUUUCAACUUUCCAUGGACUAGAGUCAAAGGACAACAACUAAUGCUUAUAUGAGGUCAGCCAAGAGAUAUGCCUCCCCUGGCCAUUCCUGUAAGGAAUUUCUUGUUCACAAUAAGUCUCUCAUCCUGCUUAUUCAUUUUCAAAAUCUAUUUCUACUCUGACAGAUCCCUUGGAGAGAGAAUCCCUGACAAGUUUGCAAAUCAACCUCCCCUUCUGCAACUAACAUCAGUAAAUUGCCAUAUCUCCUAAAAUGUAGUAGCUGCCAUUUUCUCAUAAUAUUAAGUGGAGAGAAUUCUCUUAAAAACAACUGAGGAGGAGAGGAGGGUUUAUUUCAUCUUCUCCUUUCACUUGGAUGCCUACAUUAUAUUCCCCAUAGUAAUUUAUUUUCUCAUUGAGGGAUGUUUCUUAUGGCUUUGAGUGAUUGGUGCCAGGUGGAAGUCAGGCAGAAGCAGGAGAAUGAUUGGUUGCCCAUACUUAUUUUCCCAUGGUUGUACAGAUUGUUCCUAAAUAUCGUGUAUCUUUCAGGUAAGUUUGUAGGCUCUCUCUGCAGAGAUUGUUGCAUUCAUUUCAUAUACACAGAUGAGAAGGUAAUAAUUUUCAGAUAGCCUGCAAAAAGAUUCACAAACUUUUUCAUCUUAAAAGAAGUGAUAAACAGUAAUCAUUAGGCAUCAAAGCGAAAUGCUAUCAAGAUAUACUGCCUCUUUGCUCAUCAAAGCAGACAGAGAAGACAGAUGUGAUCUGAGACUCCAUCAGUGAUAGGACUCAGUCUGCAGGACAGCAUGAUCUGGCUCCACAAAUACAAAAUAAUCUUUGUAUGAGCUUCAGUUGGUAUGUCAGAAAAUGCUAUCAUUCAUCUGUAUUCAAGGUAGGACACUGGGAAGCAGUUGUUGUCCUAUAUAGCUGAGUCGUUCCUGCUUUUGACAAGCCUAUUUUGGGACUUAUCAAGAGCUGAGUGGAAAUAUAUCUCCCCUUCUUGUUAUGUUCCCUUCCAUGAGCAGAAUUACUCUCUCUUAUGUCUUUUUCUAUACAACCCACAUUUACAUUUGCCUUUCACUGGAUGUCUCUGAAGCUUUUCCAUAUAGUAUCUCCGGGAGAUCGUGGGCAAAGCUUUAGCAGAUGGGUAGCUUGCAUCAAAGGAAUCACCAUCUGUUAUUUCUCUUCCCAAUUUUGUGCAAUGCUGGCAAAAGUUUGAUUGUUUCUCCUAGUCCCUCUUGGUCCUUUGCUGCCCAGCUGGGCAAGUAUCAGCAUCCCUCCAAUCUUUUCCCCUCUUUAUACCUAGGACUCCCGUAAGGAACUGUGGCAUUCAACACCAAAAGGUGUUUGGCUAUACUGCGCUAUGCUCCACAUGCCUAGUUCCAUCUGCUGUGCUUUCAGAAAACUCUAAUCAUCCGGGAAAGAAUUGAAAAACCUCAGGAGACAACUUCACAGAAACUCCCAAUUAAUUUUAUCACCCUCCUGAAAAUCAUGUUGAAUACUGGGAGGGGCUCUGGCACUUCGGGAUUGCCUUACUUUACUCUUACACUUUCCUGUUGUUUCCCAGCUGGAUACAUUCAGAUAGAUAAAAUAAGACAUCAUACACUUCUACAUUUGCUCAUUGACAACACUCACUUUUGAGAGAAAUGUUCUCAACCUAAAAUUUUGAAUGUGUUCCCACUAGGCAAACUCUAGCAGUUCAGUCAUGAUUUCUGGUCUGUCAGUCAGGAUUGGCACUUGCUACAUUCUCAUUAUGUCUUGCUAAUUUGCAGGUUUAUUUACAGCCCAUGUCUCUUGGGCCUCAAUAGUUCACUGCUCUUAAAUGUAAGGAAGAGAUGGAAGUACAUACAAGACAGUUUUGAUCUCGGAGAGUACAGGGCAAAUCAGCAAGGCUUAAACUAACUGCUGGCAAGACCUCUGUGGCAAAAUAAACCUCUAUCCCCUCUCUCA
rnacentral:lncRNA from 1 species